rnacentral:rRNA from 1 species
UUAUAGAACCUUUUUCUAUGCAGUUUAUAAAUAAGAAAACGUACGAACUAACAUCAUCGUGCUUAGACUACAUAGUAGCUUAGUAACAACUUCUACGUCGGGUGGAUAUGUCAGAGAUCUAUAUCGUAGAAAAAUGUUUAGUAAAACCACCAUAACGAAGUGUAGAAAUAUUUAGAAGCACCACCUUCCUUCGGUAUAUAGUAUCUACGUCACUUCUCGUUCCGUUUUGGAUAGAGUCCAUGGAGAGUGUGAAACCAUUAAUAGAGUGUUUAUGAUGCUACACAACCAACACUGGAAUAAUAAACAACUACAUAAUAAAUAAACUGCUUAAAGAAUAAAUGAUACCCUUCACAUUUCACAAAACCUUCACAGGUGGUAGGGUAGGGACUGUGAUUGGGUUGGAGAAGAGUAUACUUAGUGGCGGUGAUCAGGUCAGGAGAACAGAAGAAGGCUUGGGGCUAAGCCAGCGUCCAUGGAACAACAGAUAUUACACGACAGAUAGCCUACAGAUCCUGGUGCUCCUCAUAUCUGCGAAGGAAUAGUUCAAGAGCGUCCUUGGUAAUGUACUAGAGGACCGUUUGUAUACCAAUGACUAAAGACGGGGUAUCACGUGACAAUAUAAGUCUUAUCCAAGUACAGGCUUAUUAGAAUCUUAACUGUGUUCACAGGAGAAUCUAACACAAAGAAUGAGUUGCUUCUGAACCUUUAUUACGUACCUUCGUUUCCGUCCUCUAUUACGAGACCUCGCUCGUUGAUUUGUAACAUCCCGUUGUGAUUAAGUAGGGUACAGUUGAACCUCCUGUUGUGAUGCCUACUGGUGUAGUCAUUACCGUUGUGACCGCCAUCAUUACUACCACUUUGUAAACAUGUAGGCCUCCUCCUAGAGUGAUCAGGACGGGAACCUUGAUUACUUACUGGUAGAAUACCAUAAAACCUAGAGAGACCACGAUCAUGUACGAGUACUCGUUUGAAUGAUCGACGAAUCAUAAACUGACGUUAAACUACCUACCCUUUAUAAAUUCACUAUACAUACAUGUACUACGAGGACUAGUACUUGUAUCGACUGGAUCUUUACACAUAAAACAACCGUAACGAGACACGUUACACUACCUACUCUUAGUCUAACCACAGGACAUUAACAACAAGCCU